rnacentral:rRNA from 1 species
GAAGUUAGCGGGGCUAUAUUCUGGAGGUACCGUCAUUAUCUUCACGGGAUUAACGAGCUUUACAAUCCCUUCGGGCUUCAUGACUCAUACACGCAUGGGCGCGGUUCAUGGAUUGACGCCGUUGGCCAGUAUUCAGCGGACUGCCCCCAUUGCGUAAGGAUCGGACGGUGUCUCAUUCGCGCAGUGUUGCGGGAUCAUCCUCACACCCAAGUGGGGGUCUCCCUUGAAAGGCCUUUACCCNACUCCUAUGGAUCGCAUUACGCGCACAUCAUUUGCAUAUAUCGAUCUUUGCCCUCCAGUAUAAAGGUUAGACCCUUCUUUCCCCCUUGGAAAAGUGUAAACACUUUAUAAUUUUCUCCGCCCCNGGUGCGUNGCGAUCAUUUUGCAACCNGUUCGGCCUGCCGCACAGUAUGUGNGNCGCCACCCNUUGAUGUUUAGNAACCCGUUUAAUUUGGNCAAGAAUUNGCAA